UGGGGGAGUAUUGCACAAUGGGGGAAACCCUGAUGCAGCGACGCCGCGUGGGUGAAGAAGCGCCUCGGCGCGUAAAGCCCUGUCAGCAGGGAAGAAAAUGACGGUACCUGAAGAAGAAGCCCCGGCUAACUACGUGCC
rnacentral:rRNA from 1 species